rnacentral:rRNA from 1 species
UACGUAGGGUGCGAGCGUUAAUCGGAAUUACUGGGCGUAAAGCGUGCGCAGGCGGUUUUGUAAGUCAGAUGUGAAAUCCCCGGGCUUAACCUGGGAACUGCGCUUGAAACUACAAGGCUAGAGUGUGGCAGAGGGGGGUGGAAUUCCACGUGUAGCAGUGAAAUGCGUAGAGAUGUGGAGGAACACCGAUGGCGAAGGCAGCCCCCUGGGUUAACACUGACGCUCAGGCACGAAAGCUAGGGGAGCAAACAGG